AUUGAACGCUGGCGGCAUGCCUUACACAUGCAAGUCGAACGGCAGCAUGGAGAGCUUGCUCUCUGAUGGCGAGUGGCGAACGGGUGAGUAAUGCAUCGGAACGUACCGUGUAAUGGGGGAUAACGUAGCGAAAGUUACGCUAAUACCGCAUACGACCUGAGGGUGAAAGCAGGGGAUCGCAAGACCUUGCGUUAUACGAGCGGCCGAUGCGAGAUUAGCUAGUUGGUGAGGUAAAGGCUCACCAAGGCGACGAUCUGUAGCGGGUCUGAGAGGAUUAUCAGCAAUACUGUGAAUUAGAAGCGGGACAAACUCCAACGGGAGGAAGCAGUGUGGAAAUUUGGACAAUGGGGGCAACCCUGAUCCAGUCAUGCCGCGUGAGUGAAGAAGGCCUUCGGGUUGUAAAGCUCUUUCGGCCGGGAAGAAAUCGCACAGGCUAAUACUCUGUGUGGAUGACGGUACCGGCAUAAGAAGCACCGGCUAACUACGUGCCAGCCGCCGCAGUAA
rnacentral:rRNA from 1 species